rnacentral:rRNA from 1 species
UACGGGGGAUGCAAGCGUUAUCCGGAAUUAUUGGGCGUAAAGCGUCCGUAGGUGGCUUAUCAAGUCUGUUGUCAAAGCGUGCGGCUUAACCGCAUACGGGCGAUGGAAACUGAUGAGCUAGAGUGCGAUAGGGGUCAGGGGAAUUCCCGGUGUAGCGGUGAAAUGCGUAGAUAUCGGGAAGAACACCAGUGGCGAAAGCGCCUGACUGGGUCUGCACUGACACUGAGGGACGAAAGCUAGGGGAGCGAAAGGGAUUAGAUACCCCUGUAGUCCUAGCUGUAAACGAUGACAACUAGGUGUGGUUCGUAUCGACCCGAGCCGUGCCGUAGCCAACGCGUUAAGUUGUCCGCCUGGGGAGUACGCACGCAAGUGUGAA